rnacentral:rRNA from 1 species
UACAGGGGGGGCAAGCGUUGUUCGGAAUUACUGGGCGUAAAGGGCUCGUAGGUUGCCAACUAAGUCAGACGUGAAAUCCCUCAGCUUAACUGGGGAACUGCGUCUGAUACUGGAUGGCUUGAGUUUGGGAGAGGGAUGCGGAAUUCCAGGUGUAGCGGUGAAAUGCGUAGAUAUCUGGAGGAACACCGGUGGCGAAGGCGGCAUCCUGGACCAACACUGACACUGAGGAGCGAAAGCCAGGGGAGCAAACGGG